CUGUACACUGCUAAAUUGCACGUACUUGCAUCUUUUUGUAUGAUCCGUUAAUUUUUAUCUGUUCUGAUGAUGUCCUCUCUAAUUUUCGUUUUUCUUUUUUCUUUUUUGUUUAAAUUUUUUUUUCAUGCAAUGUAAUUCUACUUGCAUUAAACAGGAUAGAGUUGGUUCACUGAAAGGGGGCAUUGAGUUUCUGGAGCUAUGCGGUUUUGAGAA
rnacentral:misc_RNA from 1 species